AGGUAUUACUCAUACACUGCGUUUCCUUCGUACCAUCCAUGCCCAACUCACGACCACUCGCUACCUUGUGUUAGCC
rnacentral:sRNA from 2 species